CCACGGGAGGCAGCAGUGGGGAAUAUUGGACAAUGGGCGAAAGCCUGAUCCAGCCAUGCCGCGUGUGUGAAGAAGGCCUUCGGGUUGUAAAGCACUUUCAGUGGGGAAGAAAGCCUUGGGGCUAAUACCCUCGAGGAAGGACAUCACCCACAGAAGAAGCACCGGCUAACUCCGUGCCAGCAGCCGCGGUAAUACGGAGGGUGCGAGCGUUAAUCGGAAUUACUGGGCGUAAAGCGCGCGUAGGCGGUCUGAUAAGCCGGUUGUGAAAGCCCCGGGCUCAACCUGGGAACGGCAUCCGGAACUGUCAGGCUAAAGUGCAGGAGAGGAAGGUAGAAUUCCCGGUGUAGCGGUGAAAUGCGUAGAGAUCGGGAGGAAUACCAGUGGCGAAGGCGGCCUUCUGGACUGACACUGACGCUGAGGUGCGAAAGCGUGGGUAGCAAACAGGAUUAGAUACCCCUGUAGUC
rnacentral:rRNA from 1 species